rnacentral:rRNA from 1 species
UACGGGGGGGAGCAAGCGUUGUUCGGAUUUACUGGGCGUAAAGGGCGCGUAGGCGGCGCAACAAGUCACUUGUGAAAUCUCCGGGCUUAACCCGGAGCGGUCAAGUGAUACUGUCGUGCUAGAGUGCGGAAGGGGCUACUGGAAUUCUCGGUGUAGCGGUGAAAUGCGUAGAUAUCGAGAGGAACACCUGCGGCGAAGGCGGGUAGCUGGGCCGACACUGACGCUGAUGCGCGAAAGCGUGGGGAGCGAACAGG